CUAGUAUUCUCCAUUAAACUACUC
rnacentral:tRNA from 1 species